rnacentral:lncRNA from 1 species
UUAUGUUCCACUCUUUCAUCUGUGUCUCAUAAUAUUUCAAGCACACAUCCAAAUAAACAUGAACAGGGAGUUUCAUUAUAGUGUUUUUUAGAGAAGGCUUAAUAGUACAUCAGUAGGAGAAAAAAAAAGUUACAUGUUGAGGAUACAGUUAGAUGAAGUAACCUAGAAAUGCCAAGCAUCAAAGAGAUUAUGCAAUUUUCCCAGUAUUACAUGACAGUACAUGAGUAUUAAGUAGUAGAGACAUUACCAACUGUGUCACAUCAUUUCAGAGAUUAUACUUUUAUUCAGAGCUUGCAAAAAAAAUAACAUUGUGUGAAAAAUGUAAGCAAGACGAUGAAACUACAGAGAAGUACCAUUUAUAUAAAUCAAAAAUAAAUGGGAAAGUUCCCAUUGUGGAUCAGCAGAAAGGAAUCUGACUAGUAUCCAUGAGGAUGCAGGUUUGAUCCCUGGCCUUGCUCAGUGGGUUAAAGUUCCGGCGAGCUGUGGUGUAGGUUGCAGAUGCAGCUGGAAUCCCGCGUUGCUGUGGCUGUGGCAUAGGCUGUAAUUUGACCCCUAGCCUGGGAACCUCCAUAUGCCACUGGUGCAGCCCUAAAGAGACUAAAUAAAUAAAUAAAUGUACACUCAAAUUAGUACUAUAUAAUCUCAAAGACACACAGAAAUAUAAGAAUGUUAAAUAUUUAAGGCAUGGGGAGAUGGAUGAAAAUAAGAAUGGGAGAUAGAGUAAAAGUAUUCAAAUAAAAUAAUACAAGCAGAUGCUAACCAUUAUUAUUUUUCAUAGUAAUAUUUUUCAGAGUCUGAAAUAUUUAUCAGUAAUCUAUUUUUAAGGUGCUAGUUUUUUUUUCUAAUUUUGAGAAAUCCUCAGUUAUUUAAAAGUAAAAUUCAGUUUAUAGUCAAACUUAUAAUAAAACUAGCAAUUACAUAAGCCUUGUGUCACAGUAUGUCAGGCACAGUUUUAUAAUAGAUGAUAGAUCAUUAGACCAUAAAUAGCUAGUUAGAUAUAUAGAAUACAGAAAUACAUAUAUAUAUCUAUAUAUUUUGCUUUUUAGGGGCGCACCUGUGGUGUAUGUAAGUUUCUGGGCUGGGGUCUACAGCUGCCAGCCUAUACCACAGCCACAGCAACAUGGGAUCUGAGCUGUGUCUGUGACCUACAUCCACAGCUUAAGGCAACACCGGAUCCUUAACCCACUGAGCGAGGCUAGGGAUCAAACCCGCAUCCUCAUGGUCAUUAGUCGGGUUUGUUACCACUGAACCACAAAGGGAACUCCUAGAAUACAGAAAUAUAGAUAUAUAAUCAGUGAUAUACAUACAGUGAUAGAUGUACAUGAAUAUAUACACACAUACUCAUACUUUGCUCAGAACGUCAGUGCUGUUGAUACUUUCAUUUUUGUGAUAAGAAAAUUAAGAUCAACUGAAAUUGCUUGUCCGAGUUCACAUGUUUUGUUAGGCUGAAUAAUGCACAAAGAUAGCCACAUUCUGACCCCUGGAAUCCGUGAAUAUUUACCUUAGAGGGCAAAGGAGUGAAAAUAUUGUGGCAAAAGAUGUGAUUAACUUAAGGAUUCUGAGAUGGGCUGAUUGUCCUGGAUCAUCUGGGUGGACCCAAUAAAAUCACAAGGAUUCUCAUAAACCGAAGACGGGAGGGUCAGAAGAGCAGGAUGCUCUGUAAAGGAGGAAGAUGUGAUGAAAGAGGAAAAAUUAGAGGAGAGAUUUGAUGAUGUUACACUUUAAAGAUGAAGGAAGAAGCCAUAAGCCUAAGAAUACAGGCAUCCUUUAGAAUUUGGAAAAGGCAAAGAAAGGGAUUUUCCCCUGGAACCUUCAAAACAAAAGCAGCUCUGCUUUCAUUUUGAUUUUAGCCCUUUAUUUAUUUAUUUAUUUUUAAUUAGCUUCUGCUAUUUUAUUUUAUUUUUUGUUUUUUUCUAGGGUCAUACCUGCAACACAUGGAGAUUCCCAGGCUAGGGGUCUCAUCAGAGCUGUAGCUGCCGGCCUACACCAGAGACAGCAAUGCUGGAUCCAAGCUGCAUCUGUGACCUACACCACAGCUCUUGGCAAUGCCAGAUCCUUAACCCACUGAGCAAGGCCAGGGAUUGAACCCGCAACCUCAUGGUUCCUAGUCGGAUUCCUUAACCACUGUGCCACGAUGGGAACUCCUGAUUUUAGCCCUUUAAAUCUCAUUUUUUUUUUUUACUUUAAAUCUUUAGAAAUUAAAGAAAAUAGAUUUAUGUUACCUUAAGCCACUAAUUUUGUGUAAUUUGUUGCAGCAAUUGGAAAGUAAAAGAACCAGCUAGUGUCAGAGCCCCAUUACAAUCUUAUCUGAUAUUCUCCAGCUACACUUUCUACCUCAGUUUAGUAAUUUGGAAUAUUCUUAGGUAACAUGUUAUAGAAUUAUUAUGAAUAUGUUUUUCAAAUGAGGUUCUCCAAAAUCUCAUGACUCGACUAAAUUUGACCUUUGUAACAGUGAAAGUUCCUAACCCAUAAAACUACAUCACACUACAGCACAGAAAAUUAAAAUUGUCCUCUUUUAUACUCACUCAGGCAGCACACUUGCUUUCCAAACUGCAGGUUUUCUACUGAUAUUUGAAUAUGUGCUAAGACAUGAUGAUGAACCCAUAAUCAUCCCCCACUUGAAAAAGUGUGAAAUAAUACCUAAAAUUACCUCAGUGACAUUUCAGAAUCAUACCCUUACUGAAAGAAAUGCAAAGAAACAAGUAAUGGCUUACUUCAGAAAAAUAUCUCCCACGUAUUAGUACACUGUCUGGCACAUAUUAAAGGUUAAAACUUACUUGUUUAAUUAAAAAAAUGACAUUUGAAAUUAUUUAUAGUAAUAUUAAUUUAGAAAAAAUUGUCAUAAAUCUUCAUUUCUAUUGUCACAUAAAUUUUUUACUUCGGUUCACAUGUAAGAGAAGAACAUGCUAUUAUAAUUACAGCUAUUAUGAAUUUGAAUGAUUUUAUUUUUCUUAUCUAUCAUUUGGAGCUAAAAAAGAGCAAUGUAAUUUCACUUGAGUUAGAGCUGAGGCAUUUACAAUAGAUUAGUAUUAGAUUAAAUGUUAUAAUAUAGCAAUUUUCAUUAAAUAACCUGGAGCUGCUCUUUAAAAAAAAUAUUGUCAUUUGAGCUAGGAAAUUUAACUUUCUCUGCCAGGUUUUAUAUUCAUCAUAAAGAGUAAAUUUGGAGCUAGAAGAAAUGCAGUAUACCAUUUUAAGCCAUUUUUGAGUUUACAGAUUGAUAGAACUUUUCUUUAAACACAGGCUACGAGAAGAAGAAUUUUAACUGAACAGAAAUGAGACAUAGUCCUGUCUCUCUGUUUGAGUACUGUAACUACCUUGACUGUGAGGGGCUAUCUGAAAAAUACUUCUUUUCUACAGAUUUCAGUUGUUCUCCCAUGUCAUGGAUAAGUAUAUGUCCUAGACUUUAGAGGUAUUAUAAAUGCAUACCUCAAAAUUCGAUGAAGACAGGACUGUGGUGUUAAAUCCUCAUAUGAUAAUCUUUUUGUUUGAUUGUGUUUCAUUGUCUAGAACUUUGUAAAAAAAACAAACAAAUAAACACCACCCCAUCACCUCUCUUUGCCUGUGAGCUCACUGAAGAUUUAGCAUUUUAAGGAGUCUCCAUACUAAGUAGAAGAUCUUCUUUUCUAUUCCUUUCACCACAUCUUUGCAUGACCUUUGGAUAUUUUUAAACUAGUAUCUUCAAACAUCAGCAGAGUAACUCAACCUAAAUGUACCAUUCUGCUUUUCAAUUACUUCUAAUUUUUGCCCUCUGCAGAAUUUCUUUCUUUUCAGUUCAACAGUAGGCUGAAGGGGCAGUUAUUAUAUUAAUCCAGUAAUUUUGUUUGAGUAUCUGGUUUACAGUUGUGCUUGCAUUAAAAAAUACUAGUGUAGGAGUUCCCAUCGUGGCUCAGUGCAAACAAAUCUGACUAGGAACCAUGAGGUUUCGGGUUCGAUCCCUGGCCUCGCUCAGUGGAUUAAGGAUCUGGCAUCGCCAUGAGCUGUGGUAUAGGUUGCAGAUGCGACUCGGACUGGUGUUGCAGUGGCUCUGGCAUAGGCCAGUGGCUACCACUCCGAUCAGGCCCCUAGCCUGGAAACCUCCACAUGCCUCAGGUGUGGCCCUCAAAAAAAAAGACAAAAGACAAAGAAAAAAAAAAUUUAAAAAAAUACUAUGAAAACAGGAGUUCGCAUUAUGGCUCAGUGGAAACGAAUCUAACUAGUAUCCGUGAGGAUGAAGGUUUGAUCCCUGGCCUUGCUCGGUGUGUUAAGGAUAUGGCAUUGCUGUGAGCUGUAGGUCACAGAUGUGGCUUAGAUCUGGAGUUGCUAUGGCCAGUGGCUACACUCAGAUUCAAACCCUACCCUGGCAACCUCCAAAUGCCAUAGGUGCAGCCCUAAAAAGAUCAAAAAAAGAAAAAAUAGUGAAAAUAUUUAUUCACUAAUACUACCUUUAAAAUAAUCCAUUUAGGAUAUGUCAGGUUAGUUUUCUUUUUGUUCAGUAAAAUUGUUGAUUCAGAGACCUUUAUUAAAAAUUUAUAUCUGGAGUUUCCAUUGUGGUGCAGCAGAAACGAAUCUAACUAGGAACCAUGCGGUUGUGCGUUCGAUCCCUGGCCUCGCUCAGUGGGUCAGGGAUCUGGCAUUGCCCUGAGCUGUGGUGUAGGUCGCAUACAUGGCUCAGAUCUAGCAUUGCUGUGUCUCUGGCCUAGGCUGGCAGCUGUAGCUCCAAUUAGACCCCUAGCCUGGGAACCUCCAUAUGCUGUGGGUGCAGCC